CGAUAAGUCUAAUCCCCCAUUCAAUCGUUACAUAAAGGACGUUAGUGUUUUAGAGGCGCGCCUUAAGGUUUCACUGGUUAUAAACAAACUGGUGAUUUUCGUUGUCUACUUAUCUCAGUUAGAGACGGAAGGUUUGCAUCCCUUUCAUGCCUUCUUUGGUUGCCAGGUGAACUCUUGAUCCACCACUGCCCCAACACACCCAGUCUAACCCAUCGCAGCUUGAAAGGAAACGCAAAUGGUGAAAUGGUGGCAUGCAGUGGACUCACCUCAGGAAAGGGGCACGAGGGGACCUGGCUGGGACAAAUCUCUAGCCCCCCCUCAACAGACACAUUCAAGCUGCGGAUCAGACAGGGCGUCACCAGGGC